CGCAGUGCAUGUUUGAGCACGAUAUUGUGAAAGCUGACCCCUUUCAGACGCGCGGUACGGAUAUAUUGCGAGGUCAUCACCUCUGCCAUGGAGGCCCGCGUCAUCCGCGCAAUAUACCCCAUGCCAUACAAAGCCAUGGUCAUUACCGGCAAGGUAAAAUUGGCAAAGGUCA
rnacentral:ncRNA from 1 species